GAGUUUGAUCCUGGUUCAGAACGAACGCUGGCGGCGUGCCUAACACAUGCAAGUCGAACGGGGAUAGAUAGCUUGCUAUUUAUUCUAGUGGCGCACGGGUGAGUAACGCGUAGAUAAUCUGCCUUGGACUCUGGGAUAACAUUUCGAAAGGGGUGCUAAUACCGGAUAAGCCCACGGGGACGUAAGUUCUUGCGGGAAAAGGGGGCCUCUGCAUAUGCUCUUGAUCCAAGAUGAGUCUGCGUACCAUUAGCUAGUUGGUAGGGUAAGAGCCUACCAAGGCGACGGUGGUUAGCUGGUCUGAGAGGAUGAUCAGCCACACUGGAACUGAGACACGGUCCAGACUCCUACGGGAGGCAGCAGUGGGGAAUUUUGCGCAAUGGGGGAAACCCUGACGCAGCAACACCGCGUGAGUGAUGAAGGCUUUCGGGUCGUAAAGCUCUGUCUAGAGGGAAGAAAUGAUAUUGGGUUAAUACCCUGAUUUCUUGACGGUACCUCUGAAGGAAGCACCGGCUAACUCCGUGCCAGCAGCCGCGGUAAUAC
rnacentral:rRNA from 1 species